ensembl:lincRNA
GGGCGGCGCCUCCCGAGGGCGCCCUCGGUCCCUCCCUCCAACUCUCCGAGCUUUGGGACGUGCUGCCUAAUUCCCACCGCCGUCCCCAGACUGCGCGCCCUCUCCUCGCUGCGCUUCCAGGCUCCNNNNNNNNNNNNNNNNNNNNNNNNNNNNNNNNNNNNNNNNNNNNNNNNNNGUGUGGCGGAACCCCCAGCCCCGGGCCGAGACCCAGUGCGACCCGCCGCCUCCCGGUUCCUGCAGUGCUGAGAACUGAACCCAGGACCUCAUCCAAGCUAGGCAAGCAUUCAUCUACAACCGAGCUACAUCCCCCAGACCUCACAAUUGCUUUGAAAACCUUUCCCUUAUGGUGAGCCUACUCCUAGUCCAAACCAUCCUCGUCUAGCAGCCCAUGGGACUUCAUGUCAGAAGGGCCAGUGUUGUGGGCCCAAGAAUGAUCCAGCUCCCUAUGGUGUUCACUCUCUCCUCUGCCUCUGGGCACAGUGGAGUGAAGAGGCCAGGUUCCUGCUUUGCUGUGUCAUCAAGGGCUGCUCCGACUGACAUCUGGUUUCUGUCUCCUGCACAAAGAAGCAAUCUUGUGUUCUGACAUAGUGACAAAUCAGAAUGAGGAGUCAGACAGUCUGGGUCCGCUUCUAUUAUACUGGGAGAAUGAUACGGCACCUGCCCAGGGUGGGGCUGAAGAUGCAUUGUUCCUGUACUAGGAGCCACAGGAGAAGCCUCAGCCAGGACUCACACAGCUGUCAUAUUACAGCUCAGAAAUUCACAUGACUGCAGACUGGUGUGUUAAAAACCCACAGGUGAGGUGUCCAAGGUUGAAGUGACAGCUCUGUGGUCACCAGGGACCCAGGCUCCUCUUUCUUAUCUUUGUGCUCUGUCAUUCAUUACCUCUGCCGUGCUCUACCACCAACCAGGAGGAAAGAGGAAGCGUAUCUUUUUCAUUGAAGAGUGUUUUAUGAAUGCCAUCCUGUCCCAGCUCCCAGCUGCUUGGAUCUCAUUGGCCAGAACUCAGUCAUAUGAAGCACCCCCUCCCCAGGAGGCUGAGUAAUGCCGGCUGUCUUCUGGGAGGCCCUGGGGCGCUGUGUCAGUUUUCUUACCUUGGAGGAAGCACUGUCACUGACCACAUGAGAACGAACCCCAGCAGCAGGCAUCGUCACCAUCUCUCCUCCAACUCAGUUUUCACAGAUGGAUCCACAACUGAAGCUUUAGCGUGACAGCUGUACAUGGGUCUCCCCAGAGUCUCCCCAGUAACCCCAGGAACCCCCUUCCCUCUGCUAACAAUUCAUUUUAAAAGCCUAUGCAAAGCAUCAUCCCUGUGUCACUAGGCUGCCUCAGAUGUGAACAGUGAUGGGCAGGUUCGGCUCUGGGGUCUAGAGAGCAGCCGGUCAGAGCCAAACGCCGCUCUCUGGCCCCACCCCAGGUCGCUGCUUGUUAAGGACAUGCUGAAGGCUAUGUGGCCCGAAUCGUCUAAGCAUAAAAUUAGCUUCUGUUUCUAUUCUGCAAGGGAAAGCAAAGGGCUAAAUAUACCCCAGGGCAUGAGUGGUCAACAAGCCAGAUUGAAGACAAACAGCAGGCUGGUGGGAACCUGAUUUCCCUAGGGGCCCAUGGGUUGGAGACCAUGAGUUCUGAAGGCUGCUGCCAUUGGACUUACAGUCCUGUUAGGUUGUGGCCCAGACGGUUGGGUGCUUGCCCAGCAUGUGUGAGGCCUUCCAGUCCCAGCACCACACACACAUGUUAUACCAGCACUUGGGAGGAGGAGGAGACAGGAGGAUCAGAAGUUCAAGGUCAUCCCCGGCCAUAUAAUAAAUAGGAGACCAGAGUGGGCUGUGUGAGAUCUUGUCUCAGAAAACAAACAAGCCUCCUGCAUGUAUGACAGGCUGUUCCUUCUGCAGCUGUCUGUGCUCUGUUCACCAUGAACACACACACACACACACACACACACACACACACACACACCUCCUCAUGCUUCUGCACAUAUGCAUGUGUGUGUGUGUGCAUGUAUGUACACAGCCAUGCACACAUACCUACGCCCAUGCACAUAACUGUGAAUUCUGUAUGUGGUCCUGUCACACCAAUGAAACCUCCCUUUUUGAAGCUUCCAGAAGCCCCAGCCUGAGCUAGGACCCCUGCUGCCCAGCUCCCCAGGGGCCCAUUUCCUCCACUUGUUGUCAUUCCCUGUCUCUGCUUCUGGAGUGUCCUCAUCUUCCUUCUCCCAGGCACCUGCAGCGUCUCCCAUACAACUCUCAGGUAGCCAGAUGCACCAGAAAUAUUUACUGGGUGGAAGGCGCAGACUUCAAGCUGAGAGAGGAUGUUGUCCCAGAUAUUUUUAGAGCGAUCUUUAACAAAGUGGAGAGUUUCAGAUGAAGGUGAAAGUUUAACAAGAAAACAUCUCCGUGGCAUCGCGCUUCCAGCUCCCUGAUGAGCUGUGCUCUUAGAACGGUCGGAAAGAAUGCAGAGUUGAAAACAGGACCUGUCCAUCUAAGUGCCGCCGACUGGGUGAUCCUGCUCGGCUACACCACCCACCUCCCGGACUGAAGGGGGGCAGACUGGAGCCUGGCCCUGGCCUCCUCCAUGAUCUCCAAAUCUACCCUAAACUACAGCUCGGAUGCCUUGCUUCCAGGCUCCCUCAGCCACCGAGGGUUCUGGACUCCCAGCUCCCGUGAGCUGGGUCUCUGAGCUGCUUCACUGGAAGAGGGAUCUGCUUGUUUGGCUGUUUGGUUUGAUUUGGGGUUCUCUGAAUGCAGAAGAGAAGGAACGUACAGACUUCUACCUCCUUUCUGGGCAAUCCUACACUCUCCAUCCAUUUCACCGGACAUGAACACACUCAUUUGAGACUCUACUGUGUGGAGGGCUGAAAGACAAUGAAGAGGCCAAUUGGAGGGACAGGCCCCCCCCAGUAGCUAGUGGGCAUAUACAAACACCAGGACCUGGUACCUGCAGAGGUGCUAGGAGGGUCUGCUGACCAAGGUCAUAAGGCCAGUGGCUAAGGAAGCCAUGCAUAUCAUUCUAAGAAGACAUCUUUUGUCCUCUAAGACAAUAGGGAGCCAGUGAGGGCAGUAUGCUGACCCCAAAGGGCUGACUAUAUGGACUCAUCAUUAACUUCUGUUGACUGAUGAGGGUGACUGUGAUGUGACUGACC